UUUCCGUAGGUGAACCUGCGGAAGGAUCACUAUCAUGUAAUUCAGUCCCCUUGGCUGUGUUAUAUAUAUACCCACUCUGUGUACCUUCUCCUGUUGCUUCCGCCGGGUGUGUAAUUCGCCCAGCGGAAGGGUAAAAAUAACCUCUGAGUAUUGAUGAAAUCUCUGUCUGAACCGAAUAGAAAGAAAAAUGUUAAAACUUUCAGCAACGGAUCUCUUGGUUCUC
rnacentral:misc_RNA from 1 species